rnacentral:rRNA from 1 species
GAUUCCCCUAGUAACUGCGAGUGAAGCGGGAAAAGCUCAAAUUUAAAAUCUGACAGUUUUGGCUGUCCGAGUUGUAGUCUGGAGAAGUGCUUUCCGCGCUGGACCAUGUACAAGUCUCUUGGAAUAGAGCGUCAUAGAGGGUGAGAAUCCCGUCUUUGACAUGGACUACCAGUGCUUUGUGAUGUGCUCUCAAAGAGUCGAGUUGUUUGGGAAUGCAGCUCAAAAUGGGUGGUGAAUUCCAUCUAAAGCUAAAUAUUGGCGAGAGACCGAUAGCGAACAAGUACCGUGAGGGAAAGAUGAAAAGCACUUUGGAAAGAGAGUUAAACAGUACGUGAAAUUGCUGAAAGGGAAACGCUUGAAGUCAGUCGCGUUCAUCAGAACUCAGCCUUGCUUUGGCUUGGUGUAUUUUCUGGUAAACGGGUCAGUGUCGAUUUUGAUCAGUGGAUAAAGGUCUGAGGAAUGUGGCACCUUUGGGUGUGUUAUAGCCUUGGAUUGUAUACAUUGGUUGGGAUCGAGGAACUCAGCCUUCGGGCUUAGGAUGCUGG